UACAGUACACAACAUUUUACGAAAUAUGUUUGACUAACUGAGCAAUAUAACGAAUAUACAAGAUAAAACAAAAAGUCUGAAUUAAAAUCAUGCAUUACGGUAAAAUCAAUAGUGGCUACCAGUAUGAAUGUACGAAACUACACGGCCCAUAAAUACUACUAUCUGAUUGGACUUAAAUCCAAUGACUCUAAUCACAAAUUAACGUACAAAAACU